AACGAACGCUGGCGGCGUGCCUAACACAUGCAAGUCGAACGGAAUUAAAGAGCUUGCUCUUUGAUUUAGUGGCGCACGGGUGAGUAACGCGUAGAUAAUCUGCCUGACGAUCUGGGAUAACACUUCGAAAGAGGUGCUAAUACCGGAUAAGCCCACGGGUUCUUUGGGAUCUGCGGGAAAAGGGGGGGACCUUCGGGCCUUCUGUCGUCAGAUGAGUCUGCGUACCAUUAGCUAGUUGGUAGGGUAAAGGCCUACCAAGGCGACGAUGGUUAGCUGGUCUGAGAGGAUGAUCAGCCACACUGGAACUGAGACACGGUCCAGACUCCUACGGGAGGCAGCAGUGGGGAAUUUUGCGCAAUGGCGAAAGCCUGACGCAGCAACGCCGCGUGAGUGAUGAAGGCUUUCGGGUCGUAAAGCUCUGUCAAUGGGAAAGAAGUGUAUUUUGGCUAAUAUCCUUAAUACUUGACGGUACCCAUAAAGGAAGCACCGGCUAACUCCGUGCCAGCCGCCGCUGUAACAC
rnacentral:rRNA from 1 species